rnacentral:rRNA from 1 species
CUGGGCGUAAGCGUGCGCAGGCGGAUUGUUAAGCAAGAUGUGAAAUCCCCGGGCUUAACCUGGGAAUGGCAUUUUGAACUGGCAGUCUAGAGUGUGUCAGAGGGGGGUGGAAUUCCACGUGUAGCAGUGAAAUGCGUAGAGAUGUGGAGGAACACCGAUGGCGAAGGCAGCCCCCUGGGAUAACACUGACGCUCAUGUACGAAAGCGUGGGUAGCAAACAGGAUUAGAUACCCUGGUAGUCCACGCCCUAAACGAUGUCAACUGGUUGUUGGGGGAGUGAAAUCCCUUAGUAACGAAGCUAACGCGUGAAGUUGACCGCCUGGGGAGUACGGUCGCAAGAUUAAAACUCAAAGGAAUUGACGGGGACCCGCACAAGCGGUGGAUGAUGUGGAUUAAUUCGAUGCAACGCGAAAAACCUUACCUACCCUUGACAUGGCAGGAACUUUCCAGAGAUGGAUUGGUGCCCGAAAGGGAACCUGCACACAGGUGCUGCAUGGCUGUCGUCAGCUCGUGUCGUGAGAUGUUGGGUUAAGUCCCGCAACGAGCGCAACCCUUAUCAUUAGUUGCUACGCAAGGGCACUCUAAUGAGACUGCCGGUGACAAACCGGAGGAAGGUGGGGAUGACGUCAAGUCCUCAUGGCCCUUAUGGGUAGGGCUUCACACGUCAUACAAUGGUCGGUACAGAGGGUUGCCAAGCCGCGAGGUGGAGCCAAUCCCAGAAAGCCGAUCGUAGUCCGGAUUGUUCUCUGCAACUCGAGAGCAUGAAGUCGGAAUCGCUAGUAAUCGCGGAUCAGCAUGUCGCGGUGAAUACGUUCCCGGGUCUUGUACACACCGCCCGUCACACCAUGGGAGUGGGUUGCUCCAGAAGUA